UUUUCCUCUCCAUUCUACUUGAAGGGUCAGGGUAGAGGGAAGUGAACCAGCUGUGACUUAAUUGCCAGCUGGAAUUAAACCAUGAUGAUCACAGAUGAUAUAAUUUGCCUUAUAGCGACACACUUCUCAGGAAUCUGAACAAGUAAAUGAAUUAAAAUUAAUUGGGUUUUAAUUUUCUUAAUUCAUAACAAGUCUUGAGUUUACAAAAAUGUCUGCCUUGGUUUUUACACAUAGAUGCAUAUACUGACAUUUCCUCCAUAGUUAAGAUACCUUCAUGAAGUGAAUCAUUUUGCAGUACAGGUGCUUUGUAUUUGCUUUUCAGGUGAGCCCUGUGCCCUGCUAAGUGUUUUUCUCAGGGAAGAGAAGUCUGGCUAGGUAAUUAGCCUUUAUAGUCAUUGAGAACUUAUGAGUUUGAAAGAGCCUGUAAGUACUCCAUCAAGUGGAAUCCGCAUCAACUGUGUUUAAAAAACAUUUGAGUUUAAUCAACCCCUCUAUAGCAAGAGGAAAAGAAUGACUUGACAGUGAAGGAAUGGCUUCUUUACCCUGCCUUUCCUGUCAGGGAAAUCUUACCUCCAUCUUUUUGUCAUGUUAACACCAUAGUAUAGGAUCAUAGAAUCAUUUUCAUUGGGUAAUUUUGUUGUUUUCAGAAAUGUUACUUAAAUGGGCAGGCAAAAGGUUGUAGGGAUUGAGCUCAGUGCAGAUGAACUAAAGUAUGUUUAUGACUCCUUGGAGGACAUCAUCUGCUAUUUUAAGUGCAAGUAACAGGAAGUAGAAAGUAAGGUUUUUUUAGAAAUGUAUAAAUAAUUCUACAAAGUUAACACUUCUGUCCUUUACUCAGCCACUACUGUUUCCUUCCUUCCUUCUCUCUGAACUAGCUAUAAUUUGUAUUGCUUGUAGGUAACUAAAACAAGUGCACGUGAGCAAAAUUGAUUUCGUAUCUACUUGUCUGCUAUGUUUUUUCAUGUGGAAGAUCCAGAGAAACAUUUAGUGCCUCCAGGGUAAGUUUGUCGUGGUCCUUUUAGCUUCCCCAUUCAAAAAGAACUGUCAUAAAUGAUCAGUGAUUUUCUGUUGAUAUUUGUCUAAUUUUUAUGCUUUUAAUAAAUUUGUAGGCCUGGGUACCAAAAUACUACCCAAGCUGGGUCCUGUCAGCAGCUAAGCAUUACAGUAAGCUUCUUUGUGAAACCAUUGAGGUAAUUGAGGAGUGUGUCAUUUAAAGAAUACUCAAAGCUGCUUUCAUUGUCAAAAAGGUUUCAUGAAUAAUUUCUUUAUUCUAGAUUAUCCUUUUUCUAUGUUUAAGGCAAACAUUGGAAAGCUGUGGGAGGCUUCCAGGGCUUUUUUCAGCCAAAACAUGGACUUUUUCUUCCAUUGUCAACUAUCAAAGCAAUGAUAGUUGUCACUUUUUCUAUUACAACUUUGGUUUUGGAAAACAGUGGUUGGGAGCUGCAGUGGAGUCAGUCUCAGGAAAUGGCAUUUCAAAUGCUGCAGGAUGAUGUGACUCUGAGUAGCAAAUUUGUUUGUAACUAUUCUUUUCUCCAGUGUGUUAAUUAACUUGCUCCUGAUGAUCUUUCCUUCCCUCAGCAAAUCCUGAUUCUAUUUUUGGACAGGAUAACAUCUGAAGUGUUCUGCUUCAGAAAUGUUAACAUAUGCAGUAUGUGUUGGAUUAUAUAUGCCUUAUGAAACUUGAUGAGAGAAAGUUGAUGUCAGCACUUUGUAGGCUCUUAAUUAAAAAAAAAAAAAAGGAAGGAAAAGAAAAAGCCCAGCCCUGCUCUUACACUAUCUGAACAAGCACAGAGCUAACAAGUACUACAGUUACUUGAAAAGUUCCACAAGUUUCUUGAUACAGAGAAGCCGAAUGUGUCCUCAGUGGGUUAAAGUGGAAAGUUGGUAGCUCUAUUCAUCUAGGGGGGGAAGAAGAAUAAGUUAUUUAAUGAUACGGCUUUAAAAUAGUGAAAAAAAAAAAAAAGAUGUUUUCAAUAAUGCUUUAAGCUUAUUCCAAUAUUUAAUGUUUUGCUUUGGUGUUAUUUUCACAAAGUAUGAUCUGACUCUGUGCUCUGAGUCAAGAAAAAAUGAGCAUCUGCUUAAAAGGGCUGCAUGAAAAAGCUGAUGGCACAUUUUCUACAGAAAUAGUGCUCACUUCUUGCACAAACUGAAAACAGGAACUUGGAAAACAGGCAAGUAGAAACUCAGAGAUUAUAUCAAGGCUUUCCAUUGAGGAAGUGUGGUGAAAUCUAAAGCAAGUGGGUUAACUGUUGCCCUGUAGCUAUCACAUUCUCUUAUGUGACCAGAAUGGCUUUCCUGGGGAUACAGACAGCACCCAAACUACUGUAGACUAUUGUAUGAACAAAACAACCUGGGUGAAGUGAAUAAAAUGGGCUCAGGCAGA